AAAAUGGAAGGCUAGGGUUCCGGUUGUGGUUUGGAUUUUUAAACUGCAAUGACUGGUCCGAGAGCUUUCGACCUUCGCACACUUCUUUCUGAUUUUUUUCAAAAGUAGUGUCAGGCUUCGGCCCUCAGCAAGGUUACACGGCGGGACAAAAGCCCGGGAGAC
rnacentral:sRNA from 2 species